AAUUGAGAAAACAAGCAUCAUAAAUAGGGAAAUUUCAUUAAACAGUUGAGCCAUUUUGAUGCAUGCUAUUCUCGUGCGACCCCGCGACGUGGACAUUGUAUUUUGGCUUCACUAUAUGCAAGGCAUAAUUGAAAUUCAUUUAAACUGACUGAUCUCAGUUCAGAAGACUCUGGGCUGUCAAUUAAGGUUAAACCGGUGAAACAUGUGACACGUGAGUCAUGUGACAAAACAACAUGGCGCCGAUCACAGUGGAGUUUGUCUCUGGGAGAAACGCCAACAAAACUACAUCUGGUGUAAAUGAGUCAUCAUGGCAACGAAUGUGUAAAAUUGGAUAUGACUUAUCAUACAGUAGAUAAGGUUUUGUGAGAUUCUCUUAAGAAGAACCCACCAAAGAAGGAUUUGCAGCAAAUGGGGCUGCUGGGAGAAUGGGAAGGGUGGGGUUUUAGUUUAGAUAUGCUGUUCAUUCAAAACCUUUGGGAAAACCAGAACUGUCCUUGAAGACCCUUAUUAUUUUAGCGUAGUACACAAAGAGGCAGCCUCCUCAAACCUCACAACAAUUUUCUCUCCAUUUCUUAAGAACUCCCCCUUCACUCUCAAAUCCCGACUCACUUGACAGUAAGUCACCCUGCUAACACUGAGUUCCACCUCGCUGACCCAUCUUCUGCCUCUAUUGAGAGAGACUGCCUGUGUCCUUGUCAGUGCCCUUUUAAACAAACAGAGGAGAUCUCUGAGGAGGAAGAAGAGAGCAGUGGAGGAUGGUGGAAAAACAAAGCCCUACUCAGGAAGACACUCGCCUGCCCCGACCCUCUGCGCGAGAGCAGCAGGUAGGAGCGCUGCCACGGGACCGCCCCACUAAUAGUCGACCUUCAACGGCAGGACACUCAGCACACUCUUCUUUAGAAAAUGUCUGCGAUUGAUUGAACAACUGCACAGCAGGAGGCAGAUGUAAGUUGGCAAGUAUGGGGUUGGGAGCUUGCCUUCAAAAAUGUUUGAUUCUACCAUUGUUUACUUCUCCAAUAUGUUGUAGGUAUGUCUUCUUUUCUGACUGAUGGACUAUUCAGUGUUCCGAUUGGUCUGCCAACCUGGUUUUGUUUGCGAAGUCACUGUUCCUACUUAAUUAUUCGUCAACUGUUUUGUCAAUUGGACCUUGUGUGACACCGCUGUAAGUUUCUAUCAUCAAGUUUUAGAAAGCAAAAUACUGCAUGACUUCCUACUUGGAAAAGUGCACCAGAACUUUCUAACUUGGAAACUCAAUUGAAAAUCCACAACUGUGGAAAUCCACAAUUCCGAUUCUGUGUGGGUGACAUCACACGAACAUGGUGGCACCCAGUGAGAAACAUUGACUUUAAGCAAAUAAAAUGGAUAAAGGGGUCAAAGAUUGUCCGUUAAAAUGAUAACAAAGCCUGUUUGGCAAAUGUUUGCAGAGGCAGAUGUGUGUAAAACACAGUAAAAGAUCUUUUCCGUUGAUAAUUGUACACCUGGUGAACAUACGCUAGCAUUGCAUUGCAUCGUUUAUCCUCUGCAAUUUGAUAUAUAUGAGACUUCUGCUAAUUAACUGUAGUUUGCCAAUUUCUUUCUUUAAACGUCAUCUUCCGAGUCUCGAACAAUGGAAGUCUUUAUGGUCAGAAGCCAUACAUCGUACUUGAUAUCAAGAAGGGAUUUCGCACAACCAUUCUUUGAAUGGAAAUUCUGGUCCUGUUUUUGAACUGAGAUUUAACUGUGGGUGGAGCUCCCUAGCACAACAAGUCAAAAAGAGAAACCAAGGUACCUCUGUACGUUGCUUUUCACGGUUGCAACUGGUUAGCAUGAAAACUCAGGGGCAAAUUUAUUAAACAUUUGCAGGUGGUAGUUCAGAGUAAAAAGUCUUAUUCACUUACCAACCUAGUUUAAGCAGACCCAAUAAGCGACGAAAUAGCGCUGCAUCAAGUAUUUAAAUUAAGUUAUUGCCAUUCCUUUCUGCAAAAACACAUCACAUUUUUAUGUAAAUUAGGCUAUUUGUAUAUUGUGCUUUUAAAAAAAAAACUGGCCGGGACAAUUUACAUCACGCUAUUACCACCAGAGAAAAUAAGGCGGUAAACUGAAUUUUAUUUAAAAGAGAUGCUUGUGAACAUUUUCUAUUGAUCAUGGCAGUAGUAAUUCAUCAAAUGAAGGAGAAAAGCUUUGUAACCUGGCUAUCCACUGAAGGGGUGAAAAGCCAGUUCCCUUUUACUUUUAAAAGUUAUAUCUAAUCUUUUGUCAUCUCCAUUUAUUCUUAUUAUAUUAAUACAUUUUCUAUUUUCCUUUUACGAUAAGGUGCAAGAAACAUAUAUGUCAUCUGAGGGGUGACUGAUGGUCUGGCCCCAUUCCAGGAAUACAAUAACAGUGAUUAUUUAUUUAGCCCGGCUCCUGGAGGAUAUGCAUUUAUAUUGUACUGUAUUUAUUCACAAAAAUAUAUAUCCGUUAUAAUUAUUACAUAAUCAAAUAUUCUAUAACCAGUUGGUUCUAUGUUAAUCCAAUCAUUAUUAAUUAAAUGAGAGAGAGAUUUUAGUUAUGAUUUUAUUGUUGUCUAUGUUUUUAUAUGGUUACUAAAAGUAGCCAUUACAUACAAUAUAUCUACCUCAUAUAAUCAUUGAGUUUCUUUAUGUGAUUUUGUUGUCAUAUUAGGUGUCUAUGUGCUGCGUUUGACCAUGUGUGUGCUUUGUUUUUAUUUUUAUUUUAUCUUGCUUUUCACAGAUGUGGAGGCCCUACAUUCCAUCGAGAUUAACAAGAAGGCCUCCCGUCCUAGAGAUAGUGCUUACCCAUUGCAAUGUCUAACUCAUUCAAUGUUUGAUUUUUUUAUUGUGCCUGUAACAUGUGACUCUGCCAUAGUCAAAAACCUCAAAGGAUUUUAAUUACUUUCCUUGGUAUCUUCUGGAUAGCGAAAGAGGAUUGGUCAUAACUUAUAGCUAGCCUGUGAUAUCUACACAUAAGUUCGGUAAAACCAAUGAUGGGAACUGAUAAAUGUUAUGGCUAACUAAUUACUGUAUGCAUGAAGGUGGAAACAGACCAUAUUUGUAAAGUGUUAGGAUGUUUGAAGUAAGUGACCUAUCAGAAUCAUAGAAAGUGUUGUACUGUGACACCUCUAAUUCAAUUUGUAAAUGACUAUAAUUGCUUGUGAAUGUUUUUGAAUGAAGGUUCAAACUGACUUGUGAUGCUCAUUGGAUCAGCAGAGGACAAUCAGUAAACUCUCUCUCAAGUGUUUGUAAACCUGAUUCUGAGUUUUUAUUCCUCAAUAUUCAUAUUGGGGACCCAGCUGUUACCCCCAACAGUUUAUGGUGCAGAAUGUGGGCAACUUCUUCAGUGUAACCUUGAUCAACCAACAUUAAGAGAGGGCUGUUAUCAAAGUUACAGGACACUCCAAGGAAAACUCCUUUGAAUCUAAGGGAAACAACGCAGCUGAUCCGGCUGCACAAGAGACUGAUCCUUUGAGAAAGCACACAGACAGAGAAAGAGAGAGGUUCUCUCUCUUUCUCUUGUGGAAAAGGAAGAUGGGGGUGUAAAUGAUAAAGACAUUUUUUUUUUUUACUUUAUGCUAUUGAUGAUGGGGAUGAGCAGGAGCAAUGGACUAAGUUGGGUGCACAAUUAAAUCCUGAUGGACUAUGGAAGUUUAAUGAUCGUAUUGGAUGUCCUGCUUCUAUUCGUGUUGAACUCAUGUAUUUGUAUCACAGUUUGGCUCAUGCAGGUACUGAAAAAAAGCAUUCCAUGAUUGCAAAACAUGAUGGUGGCCAAAAAUGAGGUCCGCUUGCACUGACUUUUGUAAAAGAUAUCUAGUAUGCUUGAAGGUAUAUUCCCCAUUAAAACUCAAAAUUCCUUUGGAAUAUGCUCCCAGGCCACAUGGCCCAUGGACACAUUUAAAAACUGAUUUCAUUGGUCCUUUACCUCCUAGUGGGGUUGUACAUACAUAUUAAUGGUUGUUGAUUUGUUUUCAAGAUGGGUGGAGGCUUUUCCACUGAGAAACUGCAAGGCAGAUGCCACAGCCAAACCAAUGCUUAAUGAGGUAUUCCAUAGAUGGGGACUGCCUUUGCAAAUUGAUUCAGAUCAGUGAACUAAUUUUACUGGUAAAGUAAUGAAAAAUGUCAUGAACUUUAUGGGAGUCAGACAGCAUUUCCACAUACCUUUUAGACCGCAGACUAGUGGUUCUGUGGAGCAUACAAAUCGUACUCUGAAAAUUGCUCUGAGAAAGAGAGUGCUGGAGCAGGGGAAGAGAUGGCACUCAGCAUUGCCAAUGAUUCUCUUUAGCAUGAGGGCUAGCCCAAACAAAACAAUUCAUCUUAGCCAUUUUAAGUUCAUGACUGGCAGAUACAUGCGUCUUCCGUGGGAUGCGCCUUUGCAACAUGAGGGUCCUACAUGAAAGAUGCUCUUAAAAAUGAUCUGAAGGUUUUGGAUCAAAGUUUGAGAGAUACUUGAGUAAGUGUCAUUAUUAGACAGGCCGAAAAAGAUCAAAAAGAUUCAAAACCAACACCAAAUCUCCCUGAAGUUGGAGAUAAAGUUAUGAUGCAGUGUGAAAUUGUUACUCCUCUUGGUCCUAAAUUUGACAGACCUUAUUUCAUAUUGUUGACAACAAACACAUCUGUCUUACUGGAUAGGGGAGCUUUAGGGUCAGUAUGGAGACAUUGGUCACAGGUGAAACCCAUUGGGGGAGAUCACGCCUAAACCCUAUUUCCUAUUUCCUAAUUUUCCCCAUGAGUAACACUCACAUUGUUUUUUGCCUUUUGUGUGACUAACCUCAUUCUGGUACCAGUCUCUUUUCAUUGCAGAUGGCUGGGCCAGAUGACGCAUUGAAGCUGCUAAUACUGCAGGAGGAAGUCCCGAGUAAAAGAAGACUGAAAAUGAGGCAGGCUUUUAUCCGAUUGCUCAUCCCGCUCUCAUUACUGCUGGCAAUCAUUAUUGCCUUGUCAUUUCUAAUGUGGAUUCAAAUUUCUCUCUGGACAGGUUGAUUUUAGUGGUGCACCAAUCAGGAAAUUUGAGGCCGAUACCGAUCUCCAAUUUUUUAACACUAAGAUCGGUCGAUACCAAUAACGUUUUUUUUUUUUUUUUUAAAGUGACCUUUGCCACACUUUUGCAAGUUAUAUGCUGCAAUUAUAUGUUUAUGCCCCACACAGUAAAAUUACGGUAAGUCUUUACAAAAAGGUUUCAUUUGUUACAUUAUUUAACAACAUUACUGUAGUUAACAUGAACUAAUGAACUUAAUUUUAGUUACAACAUAUACUAUACAUUUUUAAAAUCAAAAGUUGUAUUAGUUAACAUUAAUGCACUAUGAACUAACAUGAACUAACAAUGAACAAUCAUAUUUUUAUUAAUUAGCAUUAGGAUUAAUAAAUGCUGUAAAAAAUAUAUUGUUAAUUGUUUGUUCAUGAUACCUAAUGCAUAAACUAAUGUUAAAGAAAUGAAACCUUUUUAGUGUUACCAAAAUUAGAUUAAAAUUACAUUAAUUGUGAUUUGCUAACAUUUAUUUGUUUUGAAACAGUAUAAUGAAUAGUUCUGUUGUCAAUAUCAAAAGGUCAUUGUGACAUACUGGUAAGCAGUAAAAACCAUGAGAGCAUCACACACAGCAGAGAUCCUUUCAAAAAUAAGAAAAAUAUAUCCAUUACAAGCUCUAAAACUGCUCCAGAGAGAAAUCAUUAAUAUCUAUGAUUUAUUUACUGUCUUUGAUGUCUUGUUGUAACACAAAUCACUAAUUAUUAAGCAAAUGCGUGAAGACGCGAUGCCGUUAUUGAAGGUUAAACAGUUAUACUGUAUGUCUUACCAUGUGCCAGGUGCUCGAGACAAAAUAGAGUCCAACGUGGUAAUGAAGACAGUGAUUUAUCACUAUACUGACAAAUCUAUCUUUGCCCGGGACAUUCCUUCUUCUAACUGGUACAAAAAUAUAAUGAAAGACAAAUUUCUGAUGAGGUGGAAUGUACUUAAGCCAGUUAAAGUUAAUGUUGUCAGAUGGGAUGUAAAUAGAACCAACAGAGCUGUCUGUGAUCAAUUGGGGAGAAUUGAUAAAACUUCAAAGGAUACUUUCGAUCUGAAAGAAAGUAAUAAUAAAUUACCUCUUGGGAAUGCUCUUUCACUAUAUUGGCCUAGAUACACUAAAACUGAUGAUCUGUGGAAGAUGACUAUACAUGCUGAACGAUGCAUAGGCAGAGGGAUCAGACAAUGUUUUUUUGAUACUUUCCCCUCAGAUCAAAAGGAUGAGUUAAACUAGAUUAUAAUUGUGCUAGUUUUACUGACAUCUACAUACAAUAUAAAAUGGCAAUGAUGUUCACUAACAAAUCAGUUAUUGGAAUGGAACAACUCCAUGAUCAUUUAGAAGGAAAAUGUCAGAACCCCACAUCCAUGGUUUGCAAUACAACUGUUUGGAUGCAUUUCAAUAUGUAUCACUUGAUUAAGGAAAUUAUCUCCAGUAGGAUCAUCAAAUCACUUUUGCCUGUGUCAUUUAUUGAUCUCGAAUGGAAAGAUUACAAGCCUUUUCAAGUUUUCAUGUGGCCUCAGGUUUCAGAUGUAGCUCUAGGAGAUGAGUGGUUUGAGAAUUAUUUUUGUUCUUGCAAUUUCUAAGACCAAUUCCUUCUGUACAAGAAUUAAGCGAUCUCCAAUCCAAAUCCAAAACUGGGAAAUUUUCCAUAUUCAAAAUAGUUCAGGCAUUAGGUCCUGAUUGGAAAUCAAAAGACUCACACAAAGUCUGCAGAUACUGACUCCUGUGUAGCUGAAUUACAGAACAAAACUGAGUAUUAUCCUAAACUAAACUCUCAACUCACACAAGAAACUUACAUUGACAUGUUUCUCAAACAGAUCAAAACAAAUGAUGCAUUUGCAGGACAUGAAUAUCUAAAUUCAGCCUGGCUUCGAUCGGAUGGUAAACCAUUUUUAUCUGACCCUGAUGGACCUACCGCUUCAGCCAUAGCAUUGAUGUUUGCCUUUACAGUUGAUAGUGUUUUCACUGACAUCUCAGAAUUUGUUGAGGAAUUUGUUGAAGAGGCUUGGGAGGAUUUUGUGGAAGCUUCAGAAACAGUAAUAGUUGGUUUAGGGAGAUAUCUAUUGUAUGCCUUCGGCGCACUAAUGGGACUAAUUGCCCUUUUCUUAAUUGUAUGGAUGAUGAUUCGCUUUUGCUUUUCAUAUGUGUUCAAGUCUGCUUGAAGAACUGUUAACCCCUCUGAAGAGGAUGAAUGUCUGGUGAAGCUGGCAUCGAACCUCAGGACCCACUUGAGGGAAGAAAACACCAGUGCCCUGCUGUGAGUGGGAGGUGGGAGAGCCUCUACAUGGGGACCAGAAUUUUUAGGUUCUGGCAUGUCCUCACUUGUAGACCAUUGUAGGGUAUUUGACCCCACACCGGUCUAAAAUGGAGGAGUGAAGGGGUGAAUAGCCAAUUCCCUUUUACAAGUUAUAUCUCAUAUUUUGUCUCCAUUUAUUCUUAUUAUAUUAAUCAAUUUUCUAUUUUCCUUUUACGAUAAGGUGUAAGUAACAUGUAUGUCAUCUGAGGGGUGACUGAUUGUCUGGCCCCAUUCCAGGAAUACAAUAACAGUGAUUAUUAUUUAGCCCGGCUCCUGGAGGAUAUGCAUUUAUAUUGUACUGUAUUUAUUCACAAAAAUAUAUAUCCGUUAUAAUUAUUACAUAAUUAAAUAUUCUAUAACCAGUUGAUUCUAUGUUAAUCCAAACAUUAUUAAUUAAAUGAGAGAGAGAGAUUUUAGUUAUGAUUUUACUAUUAUCUAUGUUUUUAUAUGGUUACUAAAAGUAGCCAUUACAUACAAUAUAUCUACCUCAUAUAAUCAUUGAGCUGAAACUUUGAGUUUCUUUAUGUGAUUUUGUUGUUAUAUUAGGUGACUAUGUGCUGCGUUUGACCUUGUGUGUGCUUUUUUAUUUUUAUUUUGUCUUGCUUUUCACAGAUGUGGAGGCCCCAUUCCAUUCGAUUAACAAGAAGGCCUCCCGUCCUAGAGAUAGCGCUUACCCAUUGCAAUGUCUAACUCAUUCAAUGUUUGAUUUUUUUAUUGUGCCUGUAACAUGUGACUCUGCCAUAGUCAAAAACCUCAAAGGAUUUUAAUUACUUUCCUUGGUAUCUUCUGGAUAGCGAAAGAGGAUCGGUCAUAACUUAUAGCUAACCUGUGAUAUCUGCACAUAAGUUCUGUAAAACCAAUGAUGGGAACUGAUUAAUGUUAUGGCUAACUAAUUACUGUUUGCACGAAGGUGGAAACAGACCAUAUUUGUAAAGUGUUAGGAUGUUUGAAGUAAGUGACCUAUCAGAAUCUUAAAAAGUGUUGUACUGUGACACCUCUAAUUCAAUUUGUAUAUAUCUAUAAUUGCUUGUGAAUAUUUUUGAAUUAAGGUUUUUUUCUUCUUCUGUAUUUCUGAACUACUGGAUCCCAUUGACUUGUGAUGCUAAUUGGAACUGCAGAGAACAAUCAGUAAACUUUCUCUCAAUUGAGUUUUUAUUCCUCAAUAUUCAUAUUGGGGACCCAACUAUUACCCCCAGCACCACAUACACAUAUCCAUAACAUAUUUACAUGUGCGGUGUAGUCAAGCACAC